CAGACAGUAGCUCAGUGGUAGAGCUCCCGCAUCGUAUGCGGGAAGACCUGGGUUUGAUUCCCUGCUGCUUAC
rfam:Toxocara canis scaffold47, whole genome shotgun sequence.